AGAUUGAACGCUGGCGGCAUGCCUUACACAUGCAAGUCGAACGGCAGCACGGGAGCAAUCCUGGUGGCGAGUGGCGAACGGGUGAGUAAUACAUCGGAACGUGCCCAAUCGUGGGGGAUAACGCAGCGAAAGCUGUGCUAAUACCGCAUAAGAUCUACGGAUGAAAGCAGGGGAUCGCAAGACCUUGCGCGAAUGGAGCGGCCGAUGGCAGAUUAGGUAGUUGGUGAGGUAAAGGCUCACCAAGCCUUCGAUCUGUAGCUGGUCUGAGAGGACGACCAGCCACACUGGGACUGGGACACGGCCCAGACUCCUACGGAGGCAGCAGUGGGGAAUUUUGGACAAGUGGGCGAAAGCCUAGAUCCAGCCAGUGCCGCGUGCAGGAUGAAGCCGUUCGGUUGUAAACGUGUCGUUUGUACGUAACGAAAAGU
rnacentral:rRNA from 1 species